AGCAUUUAAAAGAAAAACUUUCGAAAGGAAGAAAUAGGGAGGGAUUGCUAUGCUUCAUCAUGUGUUAAUAAUACAAAGCCAAAGCCAAAGCCAAAGCCAAAGCCAAAGCCAAAGCCAUAGCCAUAGCCAUAGCGUGAAGAGUUGAAGAAUUCUUUCGAUUUUCCAAUAUUUUAGUAUUUUGGGAAAGAACUUUGGGAAUGUCUUCAAAAAAGAAAAUUUCCAAGGCUUUUAGUGCAACGAGGUCCUUAGGAAUUCCUGACGACCAAAUAAAACCAAUCUUGAGGGAUCUCCUAAAGAUGUAUGAUGGAAAUUGGAAACUCAUUGAAGAAGACAAUUAUCGCACUCUUCUAGAUGCUUAUUUUGAGCACAAGGAAAACGAGGGACUAGAGGGAAACAGAGGCUGUCCUUUGGAAGACAAGAAGUCUCUGAUACCACUGAAGAGAUCACGCGAUGGAGAACAACAGAAUCGAGCUUCGUUUAUCAUUGGUAGCUCAGGCCAUAAAUUAGUUGCUAGAAAGGAUAAAAUUUCUGAAGUAGAUGCCGGGCAUAAAACUACAAAAUCGUCUAAUGACUCUGGACGAGGAUUAGUCAUUAGGUCCAGCGAUAGGAUGCCAUCAGUGAAACCUGUUUCGGUAGUUUAUCCAGAUAAGAAUUCAUUAACAAAUGGUAACACUGUAAGCAAUUCAUAUCAGAAAGGCUCAAGUUCUUCUCAGUGUGCGAGGCCAUCGAGUACUGCACCUUUUCAAGAUCAAAUCACUGGUUAUAGUAAAAAGCGUAAAAUUUCCUCUGAACAUGUGAGGUCAAUUGCUCGUGAUCAACAUAACAGACAAAAUACAAAUAAUUCUUUGCAUCACAUGCAUGACUUGACAAAGGGUGCAGAGAAAGUCAAAAUAUCUUGGGUUAAUGAAUUAGGAAAUGAUUCUAUCCCCAAGUUCAAUUACAUACCAAACAAUAUAAUUUUUCAAAAUGCCAGUGUCAACAUUUCAUUGGCUCGGAUUUCAGAGGAUGAUUGCUGUUCAAGUUGCUCAGGCAAUUGCCUUUUAUCAUCUUAUCCAUGUGCUUGUGCUCGUGAAACUGGUGGGGAAUUUGCCUAUACACGUGAAGGCCUGCUGAAAGAAGAAUUUCUAGAUCACUGUAUGUCUAUGGGAUGCGAACCUAAGAAAGAGCAUCUCUUUUUUUGUGAAGAUUGUCCAAUUGAGAGGUUAAAGAAUGACUACAAGCCUGAUCGAUGCAAGGGUCAUUUACUUAGGAAGUUUAUCAAAGAAUGCUGGAGAAAAUGUGGAUGUGAUAUGCAAUGUGGAAAUCGAGUUGUACAGAGAGGUAUUUCUUGCAAACUGCAGGUUUACUUCACUUGUGAAGGAAAAGGAUGGGGUCUCAGAACACUAAAAGACUUGCCAAAAGGAUCUUUUGUUUGUGAAUACGUUGGUGAGGUAUUAACAAAUAUGGAGCUGUAUGAACGAAAUCUGCAAAGCUCUGGUAAUGAGAGGCAUACGUAUCCCGUAACUCUUGAUGCAGACUGGGGCUCAGAGGAACUUUUAGAGGAUGAUGAGUUACUUUGUUUGGAUGCAACGUAUCAUGGAAAUGUUGCGAGAUUUAUCAACCACAGAUGUUCUGAUGCAAAUUUGAUCGACAUUCCUGUUGAAAUUGAAACUCCUGAUCGCCACUACUAUCAUCUUGCUUUUUUCACUAGCAGGGAAGUGAAAGCCCUGGAAGAGCUUACAUGGGACUAUGCAAUCGACUUCGAUGAUGAAGAUCAUCCUGUGAAGGCAUUUAAAUGCUGUUGUGGAAGUGCAUUUUGUCGAGAUGCGAAGAAGAAACACAAAGCAGCACUAGUGUAUAGGUUGCACGUUGACGAAUAAACGAGAUCACUCCUUCAGCUUGCGUUAUUUAUAUGAUUACUCAGAAUUUUUCCUUCGUGGUGAUGGACCACGUAUUGCAAGAAUGAGAAAGUACUGUAGGAUUGUUACGAGCAUCGGUAUGUCCAUAUUUUAGUACUUUGUUCAUACACUUUUCUUUAUUAUUCUUUAGAAUCUCCUCCUCCCAUUUCUUUUUUAAUAAUUUCUAUACUAUAAAAUGUUCUUUUAUUUUCUCAUAUACUUCAAGGGUUUCCCUUUUUGCAAAUUAGUGAAAGUUUCCUGCUAU